UUACCUCUGCUGGCGGAGCGGACAAAGUUUUACAUCAGAAGAUGACAAGAAUGCAGUAAGAAGAAAUCCAUUGACAGCCACAGCUACAGACCAGGAUAUUGAGCAGUGGAUUCGAAGGUGGCUCCAUCUUGCUGGGGACAGAGAAGGAGGACGCCGAGCCAGGCAGCGGCCUGAGUAAACUGACUGUUCUGCCGAAAGAAUUUCUGAUGUUACUUGUUGUAGUAGUAGUUCUUGUUUUAAAUGUUUA